ACGAACGCUGGCGGCGUGCCUAACACAUGCAAGUCGAACGGAACUUCUUUAAAGGAUUUCUUCGGAAUGAAUUUGAUUAAGUUUAGUGGCGGACGGGUGAGUAACGCGUGAGUAACCUGCCUCUAAGAGGGGAAUAACAUUCUGAAAAGAAUGCUAAUACCGCAUAAUAUAUAUUUAUCGCAUGGUAGAUAUAUCAAAGAUUUAUCGCUUAGAGAUGGACUCGCGUCCGAUUAGUUAGUUGGUGAGGUAACGGCUCACCAAGACCGCGAUCGGUAGCCGGACUGAGAGGUUGAACGGCCACAUUGGGACUGAGACACGGCCCAGACUCCUACGGGAGGCAGCAGUGGGGGAUAUUGCGCAAUGGGGGAAACCCUGACGCAGCAACGCCGCGUGAAGGAUGAAGGUCUUCGGAUUGUAAACUUCUUUUAUUAAGGACGAAGAAAGUGACGGUACUUAAUGAAUAAGCUCCGGCUAACUACGUGCCAGCAGCCGCGGUAAUACGUAGGGAGCAAGCGUUGUCCGGAUUUACUGGGUGUAAAGGGUGCGUAGGCGGCUUUGCAAGUCAGAUGUGAAAUCUAUGGGCUCAACCCAUAGCCUGCAUUUGAAACUGCAGAGCUUGAGUGAAGUAGAGGCAGGCGGAAUUCCCCGUGUAGCGGUGAAAUGCGUAGAGAUGGGGAGGAACACCAGUGGCGAAGGCGGCCUGCUGGGCUUUAACUGACGCUGAGGCACGAAAGCGUGGGUAGCAAACAGGAUUAGAUACCCUGGUAGUCCACGCAGUAAACGAUGGACACUAUCUGUUCGGGUCGAAUGGGAUCUGAGUGGCACAGCGAAAGCGUUAAGUGUCCCACCUGGGGAGUACGCCGGCAACGGUGAAACUCAAAGGAAUUGACGGGGGCCCGCACAAGCAGUGGAGUAUGUGGUUUAAUUCGAAGCAACGCGAAGAACCUUACCAGGUCUUGACAUCCUACUAACGAGAUAGAGAUAUGUUAGGUGCCCUUCGGGGAAAGUAGAGACAGGUGGUGCAUGGUUGUCGUCAGCUCGUGUCGUGAGAUGUUGGGUUAAGUCCCGCAACGAGCGCAACCCUUGCUAUUAGUUGCUACGCAAGAGCACUCUAAUAGGACUGCCGUUGACAAAACGGAGGAAGGUAGGGACGACGUCAAAUCAUCAUGCCCCUUAUGAUUUGGGCUACACACGUGCUACAAUGGCGUAAACAAAGGGAAGCAAAGCUGUGAGGCCGAGCAAAUCUCAAAAAUAACGUCUCAGUUCGGACUGUAGUCUGCAACCCGACUACACGAAGCUGGAAUCGCUAGUAAUCGCAGAUCAGAAUGCUGCGGUGAAUACGUUCCCGGGCCUUGUACACACCGCCCGUCACACCAUGGGAGCCGGUAAUACCCGAAGUCAGUAGUCUAACCGCAAGGAGGACGCUGCCGAAGGUAGGAUUGGCGACUGGGGUG
rnacentral:rRNA from 1 species